GGACCAUUAAACUCUUGUUAUUUUAUGUAAUCUGAGCGUCUUAUUUUAAUAAGUCAAAACUUUCAACAACGGAUCUCUUGGUUCUGGCAUCGAUGAAGAACGCAGCGAAAUGCGAUAAGUAAUGUGAAUUGCAGAAUUCAGUGAAUCAUCGAAUCUUUGAACGCACAUUGCGCCCAUUAGUAUUCUAGUGGGCAUGCCUGUUCGAGCGUCAUUUCAACCCUUAAGCCUAGCUUAGUGUUGGGAAUCUACUUCUCUUAGGAGUUGUAGUUCCUGAAAUACAACGGCGGAUUUGUAGUAUCCUCUGAGCGUAGUAAUUUUUUUCUCGCUUUUGUUAGGUGCUAUAACUCCCAGCCGCUAAACCCCCAAUUUUUUGUGGUUGACCUCGGAUCAGGUAGGAAUACCCGCUGAACUUAAGCAUAUCAAUAAGCGGAGGAA
rnacentral:rRNA from 1 species